UCUAGGUCGGUGGAUGCAGUGAUUUGACCAGCCACCUGGAAAGUUCCCGUAUAUGAAAAAGACACUUCUGGGAAAGUGACAUUUGGACAGACAAGUGAAAGAGGAAGCUGGGGCUGUGAUUCGGGCCCAGAAAAUUCUAGAAAUAGGGGCAAGCAAGCCCGAGUAGGAAGACGUGAUGAUGACAGCUUUGGUGUUCAGAGGGCAAGAAACUUUUGUGUCCAUUUUCCUGUCCUUUCCUGAUGAAAGCAAGGAUCCACCCAUGAAGUCUUCUCCGGCGUGUGGAGCUGUGACUUCUCCGCUCCAGAAACAUCCAAGGAAAUGUUCUCUAGAUUUUCGCCAGAAUGUGACCCCAAGUUACCCUGGAAAGCUUCACACUGAACUCCCUUCCUUAGAAACAGUUUGUACUCAGGAUGAAGGGAUAUUUAGAGCCCGAGGAAGACUAUGCAAACGUGUACCUCAGGACAUCUGUGCAGUGGGAGGGGAUUGCAGUGGGGUCGCACAACACUGUGAAUUAUGACAAAUAUGUUUUGGAAGUUUCUAGAAAUU